AACGAACGCUGGCGGCAUGCCUAACACAUGCAAGUCGAACGAGACCUUCGGGUCUAGUGGCGCACGGGUGCGUAACGCGUGGGAACCUGCCUUGAGGUUCGGAAUAACUCUCCGAAAGGGGUGCUAAUACCGAAUAACGUCUUCGGACCAAAGAUUUAUCGCCUUUAGAUGGGCCCGCGUUGGAUUAGCUUGUUGGUGGG
rnacentral:rRNA from 1 species